rnacentral:rRNA from 1 species
CCAGACUCCUACGGGAGGCAGCAGUGAGGAAUAUUGGUCAAUGGCCGAGAGGCUGAACCAGCCAAGUCGCGUGAGGGAAGACGGCCCUACGGGUUGUAAACCUCUUUUGUCAGGGAACAAAGGCGGGGACGUGUCCCCGGAUGAGUGUACCUGAAGAAAAAGCAUCGGCUAACUCCGUGCCAGCAGCCGCGGUAAUACGGAGGAUGCGAGCGUUAUCCGGAUUUAUUGGGUUUAAAGGGUGCGCAGGCGGGCUGUUAAGCCGGCGGUAAAAAUUCAGGGCUCAACCCUGUCGAGCCGUCGGAACUGGCAGUCUUGAGUGGGCGAGAAGUAUGCGGAAUGCGUGGUGUAGCGGUGAAAUGCAUAGAUAUCACGCAGAACUCCGAUUGCGAAGGCAGCAUACCGGCGCGCAACUGACGCUCAUGCACGAAAGCGUGGGUAUCGAACAGGAUUAGAUACCCCGGUAGA